AUUGAACGCUGGCGGCAUGCCUUACACAUGCAAGUCGAACGGCAGCACGGGAGCAAUCCUGGUGGCGAGUGGCGAACGGGUGAGUAAUGUAUCGGAACGUACCUUUCAGUGGGGGAUAACGUAGCGAAAGUUACGCUAAUACCGCAUAUUCUGUGAGAAGGAAAGCAGGGGAUCGCAAGACCUUGCGCGGAUUGAGCGGCAGAUAUCAGAUUAGCUAGUUGGUGAGGUAAAGGCUCACCAAGGCGACGAUCUGUAGCGGGUCUGAGAGGAUGAUCCGCCACACUGGAACUGAGACACGGUCCAGACUCCUACGGGAGGCAGCAGUGGGGAAUUUUGGACAAUGGGGGCAACCCUGAUCCAGCCAUGCCGCGUGAGUGAAGAAGGCCUUCGGGUUGUAAAGCUCUUUCGGCCGGGAAGAAAUCGCAUGGGCUAAUACCCUGUGUGGAUGACGGUACCGGAAUAAGAAGCACCGGCUAACUACGUGCCAGCCGCCGCGGUAAAAC
rnacentral:rRNA from 1 species